rnacentral:rRNA from 1 species
UACGAAGGGGGCUAGCGUUGUUCGGAAUCACUGGGCGUAAAGCGCACGCAGGCGGAUUGAUAAGUCGGGGGUGAAAUCCCGGGGCUCAACCUCGGAAUUGCCUUCGAUACUGUCUGUCUUGAGUCCGGGAGAGGUGAGUGGAAUUCCUAGUGUAGAGGUGAAAUUCGUAGAUAUUAGGAAGAACACCAGUGGCGAAGGCGGCCCACUGGCCCGGUACUGACGCUCAUGUGCGAAAGCGUGGGGAGCAAACAGG